rnacentral:rRNA from 1 species
AGAGUUUGAUCCUGGCUCAGGAUGAACGCUACCUACAGGCUUAACACAUGCAAGUCGAGGGGCAGCGGGGGCGAAGCUUGCUUCGCCUGCCGGCGACCGGCGCACGGGUGAGUAACACGUAUGCGACCUGCCCCCCGCAGGGGGAUAACCGGGAGAAAUCCCGACUAAUACCGCGUAACGCCGCUGGGCUGCAUGGCCCGGCGGCCAAAGGAAGCGAUUCCGGCGGGGGAUGGGCAUGCGGCGCAUUAGCUAGUCGGCGGGGUAACGGCCCACCGAGGCGACGAUGCGUAGGGGUUCUGAGAGGAAGGUCCCCCACACUGGUACUGAGAAACGGACCAGACUCCUACGGGAGGCAGCAGUGAGGAAUAUUGGUCAAUGGGCGGGAGCCUGAACCAGCCAAGUCGCGUGAGGGAAGACGGUCCUACGGAUUGUAAACCUCUUUUGCCGGGGAGCAACGGGGUCCUUGCGAGGGCCCGAUGAGAGUACCCGGAGAAAAAGCAUCGGCUAACUCCGUGCCAGCAGCCGCGGUAAUACGGAGGAUGCGAGCGUUAUCCGGAUUUAUUGGGUUUAAAGGGUGCGUAGGCGGGCUGUUAAGUCAGCGGUCAAAUGUCGGGGCUCAACCCCGGCCUGCCGUUGAAACUGGCGGCCUCGAGUGGGCGAGAAGUAUGCGGAAUGCGUGGUGUAGCGGUGAAAUGCAUAGAUAUCACGCAGAACUCCGAUUGCGAAGGCAGCAUACCGGCGCCCGACUGACGCUGAGGCACGAAAGCGUGGGUAUCGAACAGGAUUAGAUACCCUGGUAGUCCACGCAGUAAACGAUGAAUGCUAGCUGUCCGGUUCUACGGGACUGGGUGGCACAGCGGAAGCGUUAAGCAUUCCACCUGGGGAGUACGCCGGCAACGGUGAAACUCAAAGGAAUUGACGGGGGCCCGCACAAGCGGAGGAACAUGUGGUUUAAUUCGAUGAUACGCGAGGAACCUUACCCGGGCUCAAACGCCAAAGGACAGCCGUUGAAAGGCGGCCUCCCUCCGGGGUCUUUGGCGAGGUGCUGCAUGGUUGUCGUCAGCUCGUGCCGUGAGGUGUCGGCUUAAGUGCCAUAACGAGCGCAACCCCCAUCGACAGUUGCUAACGGGUAGAGCCGAGGACUCUGUCGAGACUGCCGGCGCAAGCUGCGAGGAAGGCGGGGAUGACGUCAAAUCAGCACGGCCCUUACGUCCGGGGCGACACACGUGUUACAAUGGCCGGUACAGCGGGAUGCCAGGGCGCGAGCCCGAGCGGAACCCGAAAACCGGUCUCAGUUCGGAUUGGAGUCUGCAACCCGACUCCAUGAAGCUGGAUUCGCUAGUAAUCGCGCAUCAGCCACGGCGCGGUGAAUACGUUCCCGGGCCUUGCACUCACCGCCCGUCA